rnacentral:rRNA from 1 species
AUUGAACGCUGGCGGCAGGCUUAACACAUGCAAGUCGAGCGGGGAAAGGUAGCUUGCUACCUGACCUAGCGGCGGACGGGUGAGUAGUGCUUAGGAAUCUGCCUAUUAGUGGGGGACAACAUUCCGAAAGGAAUGCUAAUACCGCAUACGCCCUACGGGGGAAAGCAGGGGAUCUUCGGACCUUGCGCUAAUAGAUGAGCCUAAGUCAGGUUAGCUAGUUGGUGGGGUAAAGGCCUACCAAGGCAACGAUCUGUAGCGGGUCUGAGAGGAUGAUCCGCCACACUGGGACUGAGACACGGCCCAGACUCCUACGGGAGGCAGCAGUGGGGAAUAUUGGACAAUGGGCGAAAGCCUGAUCCAGCCAUGCCGCGUGUGUGAAGAAGGCCUUUUGGUUGUAAAGCACUUUAAGCGAGGAGGAGGCUACUUGGAUUAAUACUCUAGGAUAGUGGACGUUACUCGCAGAAUAAGCACCGGCUAACUCUGUGCCAGCCGCCGCCGUAAAAC